UACAGAGGGUGCAAGCGUUAAUCGGAGUUACUGGGCGUAAAGGGCGCGUAGGCGGUCAUGCAAGUGAGAUGUGAAAUCCCUCGGCUUAACCGAGGAACUGCGCCCAAAACUACCAUGCUCGAGGAAGAUAGAGGUGAGCGGAACUUACGGUGGAGCGGUGAAAUGCGUUGAUAUCGUAAGGAACACCCGUGGCGAAAGCGGCUCACUGGGUCUUUUCUGACGCUGAUGCACGAAAGCUAGGGGAGCAAACGGG
rnacentral:rRNA from 1 species